UGCUAUUUCAGUGUUCUUUUCUUGUCAGUUGCGUGGCAAUGUCUAAAAGCCUGGACUAGCUUCACUAUGUCCUUUGUGAACAAGCCUGCUAAAAAGGAACAACAGUUUACAACUGAAGUGAACCUAGUCAGUCUCUUGCUGAAUCAGUUGAUGAUCAUGAGUCUCAGUCUACUCUUGUGGUUGAUACAGCUACAGUUUUUACAGCUACAAUUGAUGUACAGUCAAUUGUUGCUCAUUCUCCAUCACCCUAUUCUUCUACUUCCUCUACUAAUACUACUACUAGUACUAUUACCACUACAGAAGUCAGUGUUGGAGCUACACCACCCACUACUUUAUUACAAUAACCUUCGCUACCAAAAAA